rnacentral:rRNA from 1 species
UACACGACCGUACCGCAAACCGACACUGGUGCGCGAGAUGAGUAUUCUAAGGCGCUUGAGAGAACUCAGGAGAAGGAACUCGGCAAAUUGACACCGUAACUUCGGAAGAAGGUGUGCCUUUAGUAGGUGAACCUGUACAAGGGGAGCCCAAUGAGGUUGCAAAAAAUCGGUGGCUGCGACUGUUUAAUAAAAACACAGCACUCUGCAAACACGAAAGUGGACGUAUAGGGUGUGACGCCUGCCCGGUGCUGGAAGAUUAAAUGAUGGGGUGCAAGCUCUUGAUUGAAGUCCCAGUAAACGGCGGCCGUAACGAUAACGGUCCUAAGGUAGCGAAAUUCCUUGUCGGGUAAGUUCCGACCUGCACGAAUGGCGUAACGAUGGCCACACUGUCUCCUCCUGAGACUCAGCGAAGUUGAAAUGUUUGUGAUGAUGCAAUCUCCCCACGGAAAGACGGAAGGACCCCAUGAACCUUUACUGUAGCUUUGUAUUGGACUUUGAACAGAUCUGUGUAGGAUAGGUGGGAGGCUUUGAAGUGUGGUCGCUAGAUCGCAUGGAGCCAACGUUGAAAUACCACCCUGGUGUGUUUGAGGUUCUAACCUAGGCCCGUAAUCCGGGUCGGGGACAGUGCAUGGUAGGCAGUUUGACUGGGGCGGUCUCCUCCCAAAGCGUAACGGAGGAGUUCCAAGGUACGCUAGGUACGGUCGGACAUCGUGCUAAUAGUGCAAUGGCAUAAGCGUGCUUAACUGCGAGACUGACAAGUCGAGCAGAUGCGAAAGCAGGACAUAGUGAUCCGGUGGUUCUGUAUGGAAGGGCCAUCGCUCAACGGAUAAAAGGUACUCUGGGGAUAACAGGCUGAUACCGCCCAAGAGUUCAUAUCGACGGCGGUGUUUGGCACCUCGAUGUCGGCUCAUCUCAUCCUGGGGCUGUAGCCGGUCCCAAGGGUAUGGCUGUUCGCCAUUUAAAGAGGUACGUGAGCUGGGUUUAAAACGUCGUGAGACAGUUUGGUCCCUAUCUUCCGUGGGCGCUGCAGAUUUGAGGAAGCCUGCUCCUAGUACGAGAGGACCGGAGUGGACACACCUCUGGUGUAUCGGUUGUCACGCCAGUGGCAUUGCCGAGUAGCUAUGUGUGGAAGAGAUAACCGCUGAAAGCAUCUAAGCGGGAAACUCGUUUCAAGAUGAGAUCUGCCGGGGCCUUGAGCCCCUAAAGAGUCGUUCAAGACCAGGACGUUGAUAGAUCGGGUGUGGAAGCGCAGUAAUGCGUUAAGCUAACCGAUACUAAUUGCUCGUGCGGCUUGACC